rnacentral:lncRNA from 1 species
AUGCAGGCACUUCUGCAGAACUGAAAAUGCAGUAAAUAUACAAACACAGCAGCCUGUCUGUGUAUCUUCUGACUGCUGGGAGGUAAGCUUCAGGAAUCAUUAAUGUUGUUUGGUUGGUUGCUAUGUAAAGCCACCAAUGUGUGUCAGUCUGAGAGCUCAGAAAAGCAUGCUGUGAUCUCAGGAUAGUCUGACAGAGCACUGCCUGAGAUCCAGGGCCUGAUGCUGGCCCUGGUUCUACCCUGGGUUCCUGUUGGCUACUCUCCCUGAGCUGCUUAACCCUGGUUGCAGUCCUCUCAUGCUUCAUCUAUCUCAAUGGGUUUCCGUUUGCCAAUCCCUGACACAGAUCAAUGACAGGGAUGGGAGACUCUAGUCUGCUACCUUUUGGGCUUGUGAGGAUCACAUGAAAUCAGGGACAGGAAAGAUGUUUGACAUUGCAAUAUGCCACCCAAAUGCAAGGCUUUAAGAGGGAAGCCUUCCUUUGGCAAUUGUGCUAGCCAAUUUCCAGAAAAGGUUCCCAGGAGUCAGCCAACAUUUGAGAGGUAAGCUCUGGUCAGCACAGAAAUAAGGAACUCCGGUAUUGUGAUGGUGCUGGCCCAGGUACUUCAGAUACCCUCACAAGGACUCUAACAAGUUCCUCAGCUAGCAAGUGACAGGGAGAAUUCAACCACAGAUUUGUCAUAGUUAAAGGUUCAAAUCCUUAGCCUCUGAGUAAGAUUAUUUAGGGACUCUUUAACUCUCUCUGCAGAGCCCUUGAUGCUAUGAGAAUACAAUUUUAGAAACCCCUGAGUCCUAGGGUGGUCUCUCCUACCAUCAAUGAGGAAAGCCAGUUCCCAGGAAAGAUCAGCCUGUUCACAGGGCUCUGACGUGACUCAUCUUCUGUGGCAUGCACCUCCAGCUGGCAUUUACAUAAAUCAUUUUAGCACAGUUGGAUACUCCAAUCAGCAAAAAUCUGAAAACCUUGAGACCCAGUAGCCAUCUCACGUAGGGAAUUGCGUUGUCAUCUCAUAAGUGUAGCUAUAGAGAGAAGGGGAAGGGAAGAGCAGAGUAGUGUCCACAGAGGGCCGUCAUGGUGCUGGGAGCUGCACUUGUUCUUCCUGAACCCCCAGUGACUCUGUGAUCUAAGUAAUGCUUUUGAUGAAGUCAGAACCACAAAGUUUACGUGAGUUGGCACUUUAUCAAACUAUGCACUGUGAGUUUGGGGUUAGAAUUCAAACCAAGGUCUGUUCUAUUCAUUCCAUUAGUUUUCAAAGUCUUGUCUUUACAGACACUAAGCUGUCAGAGCCAUCAGCCUGGCAACUGGGAGUUACUGAGUAUCUCUAGUUUCCUUUGUCCCAUGGAAAACAGAUAUCAAAAGAUAACAUAUCAGCAUUCACAUCUCCUUUACUUGAUCUUUUUCUUUUGCUUGAUCAUCACGGGGCCCUCAGAACUAUAAAAGAGGGCAAAGAGACCAAUAGGAGCUUCAGUUUUAGAUAAGACAAUGGUUGUCUACCAAUUUUGCCAAAGCUAAAGUGGAAUUUAUUGAGGCAUUAAGCUAGUCAUUACUUUGUUCAAUCUAGGCUUUGUCAAUGUGUUUUUAUUCUGUUGCAAGAAACUAUCCGAGAGUCUAGAUAAGCAGAAGUUUGCCGCAAUGUUAGAACUGUUUGGAAAUCCUUUGUCUCAGGGUGGAUCUAGUCCAGCAAGUUUAAAACCAAGGAGAGCUCCACAUGUUGAGUAUUGUGGAGAGUCUAGAGCUGUGUUGGGGAUGGAGCUGAUUUCCAGUUAGGUGCUUAAAGGCCUUGCGUGGCAGGAAGUUCAAUGUCCAGCCCAUAGCUCAGACCUGACUUUCCAAUUCCUGCUGAGUUUGACAAUAGAUAAUCUUCUGAAGCAAGCAGAUUUUUCUUGGCUGUAGACUCCUGCCAUGCCUAUCUGCCAAGUCUAUUGCUGAGCUCCCAUAUCAGAGCCAUCUCUUUUCCAUAGAAGCCUCAGUGUUUCAUAUCCGUUUGGCUUCACUAGACUGAAAUAACUCAUCUUUAAUCUCAGAGACUCAGGAUAGCAAGUAUCUCUUGUUUCUCUCAUCUAAGAAUCCAAGAGGCAAGGGAAAUUCUGCUCUUUGAAAGUGUCCGCAUGUCUCAGAUCUCCCAACGAAACAUCACUUCAGAGUCUGGUGUUUUGAAACUCUGUAAAAUACUAUUUAUUAUCUAUAUUAUAUAUAGCUUAAACUUUAUGAUGCCAGCUAUGGAGAACUAGUCAUCUGGCAUAAUCAGUC